AGCACGGUUCACCUUGCUUUCUCCUAGAGGGCAAACCUUGUGCCCUGCGCGCCUCGGUGGUCCUGCUGUGGGUCCUCUACCUCACUCUGUGCAUAUUGCACAGCAAGAUAGAAAGACUUGUUUAUAUUAAACAGCUUAUUUAUGUAUCAAUACUAGUUGGAAGGACCAGGCGCUGAGUCUCUCUCUGUGACAUGUGACUCUGUCAACUAAAGAUAGGACAGAACAAAAAGGAAACAGUUGAGAUUAUUGCACAUGUGGCUAAAAACAAAGACGGCAAAAAAAAAAAAAAAAGGCAGUGGUUGGAAGGCCAUUUUGCACAGUGUUAGGCAUUGUAAAAUUCAUAGAAGUUGUUAACUUGCACAAAAAAAAUUAAAUAUUUUUACUGGGAUGGGGAGGUGGGCAGAUCUUUAAAAAGCUAAAAUAAAAUUCAAACUC
rnacentral:lncRNA from 1 species